UACGGAGGGUGCGAGCGUUGUCCGGAAUCACUGGGCGUAAAGGGCGCGUAGGCGGCGCGGGCAGUCAACGGUGAAAGCUCAGGCUCAACUCUGAGUCGGCCGUCGAUACUCCCGCGCUCGAGCUCACUAGAGGCAGAUGGAAUUCCGGGUGUAGCGGUGGAAUGCGUAGAGAUCCGGAAGAACACCGGUGGCGAAGGCGGUCUGCUGGGGGUGAGGCUGACGCUGAGGCGCGACAGCGUGGGGGAGCAAACAGG
rnacentral:rRNA from 1 species